UACGUAGGGUGCAGGCGUUAAUCGGAAUUACUGGGCGUAAAGCGUGCGCAGGCGGUUUGCUAAGACAGGUGUGAAAUCCCCGGGCUUAACCUGGGAAUUGCGCUUGUAACUGGCAAGCUAGAGUGUGGCAGAGGGGGGUAGAAUUCCACGUGUAGCAGUGAAAUGCGUAGAUAUGUGGAGGAAUACCGAUGGCGAAGGCAGCCCCCUGGGUUAACACUGACGCUCAUGCACGAAAGCGUGGGGAGCAAACAGG
rnacentral:rRNA from 1 species